rnacentral:rRNA from 1 species
CUGGCUCAGGAUGAACGCUAGCGGCAGGCUUAACGCAUGCAAGUCGAGGGGCAGCGGGAUGUAGCAAUACAUUGCCGGCGACCGGCGGAUGGGUGCGUAACGCGUAUGCAACCUACCUUAUACAGGGGAAUAACCUUUCGAAAGGGAGACUAACACCCCCAUGGUAUUGAUUUAAGGCAUCUUAGAUUAAUUAAAUAUUUAUAGGUAUAAGAUGGGCAUGCGUAUGAUUAGCUAGUUGGUAAGGUAACGGCUUACCAAGGCGACGAUCAUUAGGGGUUCUGAGAGGAAGGUCCCCACACUGGUACUGAGACACGGACCAGACUCCUACGGGAGGCAGCAGUGAGGAAUAUUGGUCAAUGGGCGCAAGCCUGAACCAGCCAUGCCGCGUGCAAGGAAGACGGCCUUAUGGGUUGUAAACUGCUUUACAUAAGACUAACCGUAUAUUUGCGAAUAUACCUGAAUGUAUUAUGAGAAUAAGGAUCGGCUAACUCCGUGCCAGCCGCCGC